rnacentral:rRNA from 1 species
UACGUAGGUGGCAAGCGUUGUCCGGAUUUACUGGGCGUAAAGAGCGCGCAGGCGGUCGUCCAAGUCGCGUGUGAAAGCCCCCGGCUCAACUGGGGAGGGUCACGCGAUACUGGUCGACUCGAGGGCAGGAGAGGGUAGUGGAAUUCCCGGUGUAGCGGUGAAAUGCGUAGAUAUCUGGAGGAACACCGGUGGCGAAGGCGUCAUCCUGGACCGAUACUGACGCUGAGGAGCGAAAGCCAGGGGAGCAAACGGG